rnacentral:rRNA from 1 species
UUUUCUGCCACCGAAUACAUUAGCAUGGGAUAAUGGAAUAGGACCCUGUCCUCCUAUUUUCAGUUGGUUUUGGCAGCGCGAGGACUAGGGUAAUGAUUAAUAGGGAUAGUUGGGGGCAUUAAUAUUUAAUUGUCAGAGGUGAAAUUCUUGGAUUUAUGAAAGAUUAACUUCUGCGAAAGCAUCUGCCAAGGAUGUUUUCAUUAAUCAAGAACGAAAGUUAGGGGAUCGAAGACGAUCAGAUACCGUCGUAGUCUUAACCAUAAACGAUGCCGACCAGCGAUUAGGAGACGUUGAAUACAAAACACCACCAUCGGCUGCGGUCGUCCUUGGCGUCGGUCUUUCAACUGGGGGGCCGGCGCGGGGGCGGCUUAGCCCGGUGGCACCGGUGAAUGACUCCCCUAGCAGCUUGUGAGAA